rnacentral:lncRNA from 1 species
GGUCCACCAUAAUAGCAAGGUCCCCCACCAACGCCAUGAUAGCAUUCCGUGCAACAGCAUCCGAUGGGGGGAUAAGCCAUUGGUGGUGGAGGACAAGGUUCUGGAACCUUUGGUGCUGCUGCUGGCGGUUUCGGUGGUGGUUCUUUUCGUUUCUCAGGUUCCUUAGGCUUUUCGGGUUGUUUAGGUUUCUCGGGUUCUUUGGGUUUUUCGGGUUCUUUCGGCUUUUCGGGUUGUUUAGGUUUCUCGGGUUCUUUGGGUUUUUCGGGUUCUUUUGGUUUUUCGGGUGCUUUAGGCUUUUCGGGUUCUUUUGGUUUUUCUGGUACUUUAGGCUUCUCUGGUUCUUUGGGUUUUUCAGGUUCUUUGGGCUUUUCGGGUUCUUUAGGCUUCUCAGGCUCCUUGGGUUUGGGAGGAGGAGGUGGAGGUUUGAUCUCAAUGCUCUUGAUUGAUCCAGCACCCUUGCAACAUAUCUUGUCCCUCAGCUUCUCAGGAUUGCAGCAUACCACAGUAAUGGUCACGGUGUUGGCUUUCUCAUUGUAUAUCUGGUCUCGUAUUUCUCUUGUUCGCAAAAACCCAUCAUCAAAAAAUUAUCAACUUAAACCAUAUAAAAAACUACUUUGCAAUUAUUAAAAUGCUAAACACAAAAAGGACAAGCAUAAAAAUCAGGAA